rnacentral:rRNA from 1 species
UAUAUAGGAGGUCCUGCCUGCCCAGUGACAACAGUUUAACGGCCGCGGUAUCCUGACCGUGCGAAGGUAGCGCAAUCACUUGUCUUUUAAAUAAGGACCUGUAUGAAUGGCAAAACGAGGGCUUAACUGUCUCCCUUUACAAGUCAGUGAAAUUGACCUGCCCGUGCAGAUGCGGGCAUAAUAAUACAAGACGAGAAGACCCUUUGGAGCUUAAGAUAUAAGCCAACUAUGUUAAUAAUUUAUUUAUCUAAAUUAAACUGUAACACUGGCCUAAAUCUUCGGUUGGGGCGACCACGGAGUAAAACAAAACCUCCAUGCGGAUAGGGAAUAUCCUAAAACCAAGAGAGACAUCUCCAAGUCACAGAAUAUCUGACCAUAUAGAUCCGGCCCUCCGGCCGAUCAACGAACCAAGUUACCCAAGGGAUAACAGCGCAAUCCCCUUCCAGAGUCCCUAUCGACAAGGGGGUUUACGACCUCGAUGUUGGAUCAGGACAUCCUAAUGGUGCAGCCGCUAUUAAGGGUUCGUUUGUUCAACGAUUAAAGUCCUACGUGA